GAACGCAAAUUGCACUCGAGGCUCCGGCCAAGAGUAUGUCUGCCUCAGCGUCGGCUUUACCCUCACCCCCCCAAUCGGGGGCGUGGACCUGGCAGUCCCGGCCGGCAACGACCGGGUCCGCUGAAGACCAGAGGCUCGAGCAAGGACCCACAUGGGAAAACAGUCUGGUAGGUGACCCGCGAGGGCGCAUGCCACUGUUCGCCCGGAGACUUGCUGGAAGCCGGCAGGAAUCGCCGGUCGCCCUUAGCGGGGCGCCCGUGCGACACACCCUUUUCGACCUGAGUUCAGGCAAGAACACCCGCUGAACUUAAG
rnacentral:misc_RNA from 1 species